GUGAAUCAUCAAAUUUUUGAACGCAAAUUGCACUUUCUGGUAUUCCGGAAAGUAUGCCUGUUUGAGGGUCAGUUAAAUAAAAAUCGGUGUUGUAGCUGCCUUGCGUGAUGACGCGUCGGAGUUGAGUCCUCUUACCUUCGGUUAAGCUUCUUAAAAUUUGUGCUUGAAUUUCGAACGUAUUUUAAUCGUCUACGUACGAUUGAGAUA
rnacentral:misc_RNA from 1 species